GCUUGUCUCAAAGAUUAAGCCAUGCAUGUCUAAGUAUAAGCCUUUACACGGUGAGACUGCGAAUGGCUCAUUAAAUCAGAAACUGUUUAUUUGAUAGUGCCUACUACUUGGAUAACCGUAGUAAUUCUAGAGCUAAUACAUGCAAAAAGCCUGGACUUCUGGAACAGGCGUAUUUAUUAGAUAUACAAACCAACCGCUUCGGCGACCUUGGGUGACUCAUAAUAACUCCUCGAAUCGCAUGGCCUUGCGCCGGCGAUGUUUCAUUCAAAUUUCUGCCCUAUCAAUUUGAUGGUAGGAUAGAGGCCUACCAUGGUGGUAACGGGUGACGGAGAAUUAGGGUUCGAUUCCGGAGAGGGAGCCUGAGAAACGGCUACCACAUCCAAGGAAGGCAGCAGG
rnacentral:rRNA from 1 species